AAAUACUCCAGAACUACCAAAGGUUUCAGUUGAGUCAUGAUCCACCUAACAGGCCUGCAGGUGCUUCGCUAUUUUCGUAAAGAUGGUCACCGUUGGAGGAAGAAAAAAGAUGGGAAAACUGUCAAAGAAGCCCAUGAAAAGUUGAAGGUGUGCUGUUCAAUUUUUGCGUAACGGGAAGUGUGGAUGUGCUCCAUUGCUACUAUGCCCAUGGGGAGGACAAUGGAAACUUUCAGCGACGAUGUUAUUGGAUGCUUGAUGGGUGGGUUUCACCGGGUUUAGUUUUUUAGAUAUAGGAUAUUUUAGGUUUAAAGUGAUGCUCAUGGUAUAAUACCAUCAUACUUCAAAGAAAGUCACACCAGUAGAGGAUAUUGUAAGGUGGUCAUAUUAAUGCUGAAGAAGUACAUCUUCCCUCCCCUUUUUUUGGCAUUUGUGGAUUUUCCUGUUUUGUUUCAUUGUACUAAGACAUGAAAGGUCCUUGUGCUUCAUUUACCUUUUGUCUCCCACGUAUGGUUUAGUAAGAAGUUUAGUUCUAUUAGUUAUUUUCUUGAAAGACUUGCAUUUAACACCAGAACAGAAAUUUAUUCCUUUUAGACAAAUGCUUGCAUUAUUUUUCUCUGCCUCCACUGCGGAAGCUUCAUUCACAGGGGUUG